CUGGGAUUUACGCAAGUAGGAGAUCCAAGCCUCACGUGAAAGAACAGCUGAUACUCAGCGCUGCUGGUUUUUACCAGGAAGGAAGUUCACAGCCCAGCAGAGGAGGAAAAGGGAUGGAGAUUGCCAAAGACAGCAUUUACCUGCUCUCUUCUGGAAGAAGCACUGUGCUUUCUCUUCAGAAAACUGCCCGUCCCAAGAUGUAAUCAGUUCCAGAGCAGCCAUCACUUAAGGUGUUCUCCCCUCCUUUGGACAAAGUUGUCUAUGGUCCAAACCAGGUGGUGGAAACUCGUCUAUGGAAAACCUGAGCAUGGCCAGCUGUAUGUUAUCCACUCAUGGAGAAAGUUUCACUAAGAGGGAAUAAAACUCACCCAUGUGGACAAGCAGAGAUGGAAAUGAGAAGGUCACUGGUGAUUUCGGGGUUUCUGAGGAAAACCAUAUGCGUUGUCUGUUCUUAUUGUUAUUUGCCGAAAUCUUCCUGCUUCUAUGACAUCAAACUCCCUUCUUUUGGUUAAGCUAUUAUGUUGGGUAGAAUUCUAUAAUGUACAAGUGACAGAAAUACAGCUAGAAGCAGCUUAAGUUGAAGAAGGGAACUGAGGAAAGAUCCUGAGGUAGUUUACAGACUUAAACAAAGAAUUGAUCGAGUGAACUUCCGGAAGGCAGGAGCAGCAACCUCGGGAGAGACUCAGAGCUUGGGGCUAGGAGUUACAAACAGUCAGAAUUCACUUUUUCCUCAUGUGAGCUCUGCUCCUUUGGGCAUCAUGCCCUCUAUUCAGGAAUAUUUAUUAUUUUAUACUUUAUUUCUGGAUAGAGUCUUGCAGUGUUCUGACCUUCUUUUCUUAGCAUCCUGAGUGGCAGAGACUAGAAACAUGCUAUUACCUCUAGCUUUUGUGGUGGGCCAGGAAUCCGUUUGGGCCUCCCAUGUGACCUGGGUCUACCCAAUAGCAGGGUCUAUCAGUAUGCCAUACCAUGGCUGUUUUGAUGACUUGAUAUGUUUUUCUCCAACUAUUUCUUUUAUUGACCCUAUGACCCUCUACUACUCAUCAGCAUUUCUGUGUCCACAGCCACCGAAGGAGAUGUUGUAGCACCCUGUGUUUUAAGUCUCAGCAAUGCUGAACAGGAGUGAGUUCAGGCUGUCACAGGAGAAAAAGAGAAAAGCCACGAGAGAAGCAGAGAGAGUUCAAGCUGGUGUCCCACCUGCACCUCGUCGGGACUGAGCAUUUGUGUUGAUGGGUGUUUGACACUGAACGUGUUUUAUCAUAUUAAGUACAGCCCAUCUAUAAUUUAAACAAAACCUUUGAAGUAAACUAUGACAUUCCCAUCGUAUAUCUCCUACUGUGGGGGAGGAGCGACGAACACUGCCAAUGAGUGAGAGUGGCAUUGAGAAUCACAGAGUAGAAAGAACUACUCCCCUUAAACUAGAUAGAGCUAGGGGUGGAAAAAAGACCCAGGUGUUCUCUGCAACAUGGGUAGCACAGAGCAGAAUGGAGGAAGACCACCAAACCUGUAGCAGCCUCAUAGAGAUUCAACCUGAUUCAGCAAGAGGAAGAACCAAGAGAAUAAUUCCCAGGUGUAGCAUAGACCUGAUGCUGGGCCUUGAAAAGCUUCACCCCAAAUGCCCAGAGGCCAGAGUGAUCUUGGUGCACACUUCUCAGUGCACUUCAAAAUGGCAUCGGGGACAAGCAAGGAGAAUCAUUGAUUCUGAGGUGAUGUUUGGCAUGAAUUUGUGCAGAUCAACACCUGAAAAAUUAGACAGGAUCAGGAGUCAGAUGCCAAAUCCAACAGACGACCAAGGAUUAGAACCUUUGCUUAUUUGGAUCCUGCCUUCCUUCCCUUCCUGCUGUCCCCUGCUUUUAUAUUUGAACUCAAGAGAAAAAAACAGAAACUGAAUUCAUUGAAGUUUUGCUUUUAUCAUUGAUGAAAUGGGAUCCUAUUUGAAGAAGUUAAAGGAUGUUGGGAACCAGCAGUUAGCGUAAUGGCUACGUCAC